rnacentral:tRNA from 1 species
GGUCUUAUAUUCAUAAGUAUAAAUGAUAUAAAAUUGCAAAUUUUAAGGAGUAUAAAGAAAUACUAAGGCUU